AUACGUAGGGUGCGAGCGUUGUCCGGAAUUACUGGGCGUAAAGAGUUCGUAGGCGGUUUGUCGCGUCGUUUGUGAAAACCCGGGGCUCAACUUCGGGCUUGCAGGCGAUACGGGCAGACUUGAGUGUUUCAGGGGAGACUGGAAUUCCUGGUGUAGCGGUGAAAUGCGCAGAUAUCAGGAGGAACACCGGUGGCGAAGGCGGGUCUCUGGGAAACAACUGACGCUGAGGAACGAAAGCGUGGGUAGCAAACAGGAUUAGAUACCCUGGUAGUCCACGCCGUAAACGGUGGGCGCUAGGUGUGGGUUCCUUCCACGGAAUCUGUGCCGUAGCUAACGCAUUAAGCGCCCCGCCUGGGGAGUACGGCCGCAAGGCUAAAACUCAAAGGAAUUGACGGGGCCCGCACAAGCGGUGGAGCAUGUGGUUUAAUUCGAAGCAACGCGCAGAACCUUACCAGGGCUUGACAUCCCUGCGAACCUCUGGGAAACCGAGGGUGCCUUCGGGAACGCAGUGACAGGUGGUGCAUGGCUGUCGUCAGC
rnacentral:rRNA from 1 species